CAAUAGCGUAUAUUUAAGUUGCUGCAGUUAAAAAGCUCGUAGUUGGAUUUCGGGUGGGAAUGGCCGGUCCGCCGUUUCGGUGUGCACUUGCUACGCCCACCUUGCUGCCGGGGACGUGCUCUUGAGUUCACGCUCGGGACGCGGAGUCGGCGAGGUUACUUUGAGUAAAUUAGAGUGUUCAAAGCAGGCCAACGCUCUGAAUACAUUAGCAUGGAAUAACACGAUAGGACUCUGGCCUAUCUUGUUGGUCUGUAGGACCGGAGUAAUGAUUAAGAGGGACAGUCGGGGGCAUUCGUAUUUCAUUGUCAGAGGUGAAAUUCUUGGAUUUAUGAAAGACGAACUACUGCGAAAGCAUUUGCCAAGGAUGUUUUCAUUAA
rnacentral:rRNA from 1 species